CGCCCGGAGCUGCCAAACAACUCACUCAUGUUCCCUCCUUAGGCGCAGACUCACGCUGGCUCGCGGGCUGGUAUUUCACGAUCAAACGAGGGACGUGCCCGGAGCCAAGCCAGCGUCUGCGCGUCCCUUGGCUCAUCUCUCCGGCCAACUCGCUGACGCCAAGUACCACAGAUGGCCGCCCUGACGCGUCAGGGGGUCCGACCUGGGAAAUCAAGACCAGGAGCUGCAAACGUAGAAUCGGUUACGCUGGAAGUCACCGGAGGCUUCCGCAGCUCCGAGGAACGUGAAGACCUAGAAGCUCAACGUGAGCUUGAAGAGAUUUUUGAGGCCUGUGCUCUGGGAUAGACGGCAUGGUGGAUCAUGCUUUUCCCCCACACCAACCCAGCAACACCAAGAAAUAAGAAUGAUGCUGUAUUUACUGCAGAGAUUUGAUAGCAAGGACUGAGAACGUUAAAACAGAGAGCUCAUGUUCAGCAAUGGAGAUAAAGUGUAAUAGUAAACAGCUGCCUCAUUUCCUUGACCUUGGGGUAAUUUCUGUGCCAAAUACAGAGAGACUUCUCUAUUAAAAUAGCAUGUGACCACAUCACUGAAGAUCACAAAUGAACACAAAAAUGAAGGCUUACCAGACAAUCUGAAAUGUAUUGUUACAGCUCAUUGAGAAUUUAAAAAAAUAAUUCUGCAAGAUAUUUUAAAAGUGUUUCAUUUUGAAAUGUCUGGAAUGCCAUCGUUUUAAUGUUUCUGAAAGCAGUACUGAAAACAGCAUUGGACUAAAUAAAAUGCACCUUGAAUUUUUUUUUUAGUUCUGCCACCUGAGGUAGCUUGCAAUGGGAUCAGACAAGCACCUGUGCCAGUGUAGCAGAAGGCCAGGAAACGCGCAGCCAGGAGCAUGGACCGGGGAAGGGGAGUACAUGCCCACCCCUCUUGGCCACAGCUGUGACUCAGAAAUUCAAAUUUGGAACAGGAGAUCCUGAGAGAACAUCCAGCAACCUGGACAUUCACUUGCUCAUUUCCCUGUGAGAUUGGUCUUAAAUCCAGUAGAUGAGAACUUGAAUUGGAAACAAAAGAUUUCAGGUUUUUAAGGCUGUCCUGAGCAUCUGAGGACUCAUCAUGAGCGCAGAAAAUGAACCCUCACACGCUGCUUAUAUAUGGACAAUGUCAUCCUAAGUGGAAGAUGUAUAACAAGAACAUGGAAAAAGAUACCUCAACAUCUUUGGCAGCAGUCCUACAAAUUAUGUUGAGAGAAGUCAACAGAAAUAAAUAAUUACUUACUGCAAGGGUUACGAAGGCCCAGAGGAAAAAAAUCUUGAAAAUUUUCAGAGAAAAUGAGGCUAUGGAAAAAAAGAAUUCUUAGGAGAAAGCUGAAGUGAAGCUUUCAUGCAGACUACUUUCUUUCAGAAUGCACACUGAAAUAAUUUCUAGUGUAUUGUUUAAAAUUAUUUUAUUAACACUCUCUUUCAGAACGCCUUCUGUAGUUAAUAAGUACUUCCAAUGAAUCACAGAAAAACACGAGCUGGAAGAGAAGGCAUCCAGUUCAACUCUCUUCCCUAAGAGAGACUCAACUACACUAUAUAACUCCUAAGAUACUUGUCCUUGUCUGAUCUUCAUGACUGCCAACAAAGAAACUCAGCAAUUUCCCAAAGCGACCUAUUCCAGUGUAUCACAAUCUUUACCAUUUGAAAGUUUUCCCUACUAUCUAACCUGAAGUUUCUAUACCCAAGGAAGCUCGUGACUUUUUGUACCAUCCACCUUGACACUGAAAACACAUUAUCUCCUUUCUCUUUGCUAUAGAUUUUAACAUACUGCAAGACUGUUACCACGUUCUUUCUCAUUUUUCUCUUCUUUAGACUAAACAACUCUAUUUCUUUUGAUCUUUUCUCCACAGUCAUCUUUCUGAGAUCUCUGAUCACCCUUAUAUGGAGGCUAUCCAAUAAUGCACGUUGCUUUUGGAGAGCAAUGCCCAAGUUUGGGCACAAGUGCUCCUGCUAUUGAGCAGAAAGGCAGCUUCACAUAUCUAGUAGGCUCCCUUGUUUAUACAAACUAGUAUGAUGUUUGCCUUUUUCACAACAUCAUGACAUUGCUGACUUACAUUCAGUCUAUGAUUCCCUGGAAUCCCAGCUACUUUUCUAAAGGAACUGCUGUAUAAGCAGUUGUUCACCAUCCGCUGCUUGUGGAGUUGUUAUUCCUGCUCCAGCAUAGUGUCUUCAGCUUAUGACUGCUUAAUUUAAUUCUGGUUUUUUUCCCCUCUAGACUAUU